rnacentral:SRP_RNA from 3 species
UGUUGGUUCUCCCGCAACGCUACUCCGUUUACCAGGUCAGGUCCGGAAGGAAGCAGCCAAGGCAGAUGACGCGUGUGCCGGGAUGUAGCUGGCAGGG